rnacentral:rRNA from 1 species
CUACGGGCUGCAGCAGUGGGGAAUAUUGCACAAUGGGCGCAAGCCUGAUGCAGCCAUGCCGCGUGUAUGAAGAAGGCCUUCGGGUUGUAAAGUACUUUCAGCGGGGAGGAAGGGAGUAAAGUUAAUACCUUUGCUCAUUGACGUUACCCGCAGAAGAAGCACCGGCUAACUCCGUGCCAGCAGGCCGCGGUAAUACGGAGGGUGCAAGCGUUAAUCGGAAUUACUGGGCGUAAAGCGCACGCAGGCGGUUUGUUAAGUCAGAUGUGAAAUCCCCGGGCUCAACCUGGGAACUGCAUCUGAUACUGGCAAGCUUGAGUCUCGUAGAGGGGGGUAGAAUUCCAGGUGUAGCGGUGAAAUGCGUAGAGAUCUGGAGGAAUACCGGUGGCGAAGGCGGCCCCCUGGACGAAGACUGACGCUCAGGUGCGAAAGCGUGGGGAGCAAACAGGAUUAGAUACCCGUGUAGUC